AUCUGGAUCUGUGUGUGUGUGUGAUGGAUCUGGAUCUGUGUGUGUGUGUGUGUGUGAUGGAUCUGUGUGUGUGUGUGUGUGUGUGUGUGUGUGAUGGAUCUGGAUCUGUGUGUGUGUGUUAAUGGUGUUCCUUCCCAGGCGGUACACUGCUUCUGUGUUGGAGUGGAGAUCUGCACAGAGAUCUGAGUGCACCCUUGACACCCACCGCCACGUCAGACCACAACGGCAUCACUCACAUCGCGACCACAAGCUGAAACUGGACAUCUGCUACCAUAGAAACCGCCAUGACUGUUGACCUGUUGGGUCUAGUCCAGGUCUGAGCCUCAGGUAUGAAGGUCUCACCACUGUGGGAUAUUCAGCCUCAGGUAUGAAGGUCUCACCACUGUGGGAUAUUCAGCCUCAGGUCUCACCGCUGUGGGAUAUUCAGCCUCAGGUAUGAGCCUCAGGUCUGAAGGAUGUUCAGAGAUGUUCAGUUGAUUUCUGGGAUUUCCUUUCUCUUCCGAUCUCAUUAGUGAGAUGUGAUGUUCACUGAGAGCAGGGUUCCUUCCCAAGCAUAGAACCAGACUUCACUGAGAGCAGGGUUCCUUCCCAAGCAUAGAACCGGACUUCACUGAGAGCAGGGUUCCUUCCCAAGCAUAGAACCAGACUUCACUGAGAGCAGGGUUCCGUGCUCAAGCAUAGAACCGGACUUCACUGAGAGGAGAGUUCCGUGCUCAAGCAUAGAACCAGACUUCACCAAGAGCAGCGUCCUGUGCUCAAGAAUAGAACUGGAGUUAAUAGAGAUCAGUGCACACUCAAGCAAGACUUCAUUGGUAGUUCCAUGCUCAAACAUAGAACCCGAAGUGAACAGAGUUUCAUGCUCAAGCAUAGAACCAGACUUCAGUGAGCGAGCAUCAAGUUCCGUGCUCAUGUUUGUUAGUUUGUAAUCCUCCUUGUGUUCCUGCUGAGGCUCAGCUACUAGCCUAGCGUAGCCUAGCCUAGCCUAGCGCUGCUAAGUGUCCUUACGGCUUAGCUUUGCUGUAGGAAUCUAGCAGGGACAGUCUUUGUACAUAACCAAAGGAAACACUGUAAACAUUGCUAUGUGAUGUGGGAAUAUGAUUUGUACAUAAUUUGACACCCAAUAAAAGCCUACCUGUGGUAAUGAU